rnacentral:rRNA from 1 species
GAUGAACGCUGGCGGCGUGCCUAAUACAUGCAAGUCGAGCGAACAGACGAGGAGCUUGCUCCUCUGACGUUAGCGGCGGACGGGUGAGUAACACGUGGAUAACCUACCUAUAAGACUGGGAUAACUUCGGGAAACCGGAGCUAAUACCGGAUAAUAUAUUGAACCGCAUGGUUCAAUAGUGAAAGACGGUUUUGCUGUCACUUAUAGAUGGAUCCGCGCCGCAUUAGCUAGUUGGUAAGGUAACGGCUUACCAAGGCAACGAUGCGUAGCCGACCUGAGAGGGUGAUCGGCCACACUGGAACGUAGACACGGUCCGGACUCCUACGGGAGGCAGCAGUAGGGAAUCUUCCGCAAUGGGCGAAAGCUUGACGGAGCAACGCCGCGUGAGUGAUGAAGGUCUUCGGAUCGUAAAACUCUGUUAUUAGGGAAGAACAAAUGUGUAAGUAACUAUGCACGUCUUGACGGUACCUAAUCAGAAAGCCACGGCUAACUACGUG